rnacentral:misc_RNA from 1 species
CCUUCGAUAUAAUACAUUUGAUUAUGAUCGUAUUUUGCUAAUACCAUCACUAAAUUCUCCACAAAAAAUACUGUAUCAUCAUCUCCCAUCACGAACCACCUCACGUUAUCCAAUCCUAGCUCAAAACUUUCCUUAAUAAUACGGGCAAUGCGCAGAGAAGAGCGAGAACCGUACCGACAGCUGUACUUGAACCUCGAAGUGUCCUCUGAGACUUUAUAAGGAGGGGAAGUAUUCGGCCAUGGCUCCGUCUCUGGAGGCGUCUCGUCGAGCCAAACAUACCC